AUGGAGGUCAGUCUCACAGAUUCUGGGGCCGAGGAUCUCAUCUCCGCUAUCAGUACAACACCAUCACUGACGGAGCUGGACCUGGGAUCGAACUCGCUGACAGACUGAUCUGUCCCCACUUUCCGCCACCUCAUACUGACCCUCCCAAGUCUGGAACGGAUCUGGCUGGGGAGGAAUCAGUUCAGUGACACCGGGAAGAUGGAACUGGGACCUCUGCAGGGAGUCAGAUCCGGACUGAGAGUGACCGUAUGAACAUCUGAAUGUGUGAACAUCCCCGCCCGCGGGAUGGGGACAUGUUGGCCGAUUACCCGCCCUCCCCUUUAACUCCCGCCCUUACCUUUAAUGGCCGCGCGCCGGGGGUAAUUCCCAACGGUUUUAACGUAACCGACUCCAGUCUCGAGCUCAGUGACAUCGGAAGCCGUACCGCAGUGAUGUAUUUACAUCUGUUGCCCUGCGGCGCAGCUUCCGCCGGUUGUGCGUGCACGAUACUUCCAGGUGACACCCUGGGGCAUUACACAGACAGGAAGAGUCUGGGACUCCUGUGUCCCGGGGUGGGAUCGUCCCAGGACAGAAUCCUUUUGCUCCCUUUGCCGAGGACGGUGCAUUCGGCAGCCUGACCUAUAUAAAGAUGUUAAAUUGACAAAUCCCUCGGCAGUGACCCUGGAUCUGCAGCGAUGCCGGACACGGCCCGGAAGUGUGAUCUUAUAAUCAUCGGUUCCCCGAUGCAGAGUGACGGUGAGAAACGGGACUGAUUAUUGUCGCCGGUCAGUUAAUUGUGUGUGACUGUGAGAGAGUCGGGAGCAGCUUAUUUAUUCCCGCACGUCAGCAGCUCACACACUGUUUAAUUUACAUUUGUCAUGAUGAAAUCAAGAAACCGCUCUAACUUCC